ACACUGAGAAGGCCGAAUGUUACACAGCCACGUAUGCUGCCCCAGUUUACUACACCGAGGCCCACAAGUAUUACUCUGAUCCAAUCUACUACCAGAGGCUUCCGACUACACCAAGGUCCCCGAGUAUUAAACUACGACCUGCGCUGCCUACGCUGCCUCCAGCUACUACACUGAAGCUCCAAAGUUCUAAACAACCAAGGAAAUUUAACACCACAACCUACGCUUCUCCACCUUACUACACACGGCAACAGCUGUAGUGCUCUAUUAGUCACCAAUUGCAGUCUUGAUCGUGCAACCAAUUCGCAAUCAUGCUUUUGCCGUCGUGCUGCUGUUGAGUGUUCCAUCGUUGAUAGCGGGUCGACCACUGGUGUACCGAACUCCACCAAGGUUGGGUGAGAACUACACGUGUUGCAUCACUAUCAAGGCGGUGUAAUAGCCGUAAGGCUUAAGAGGUGAAACAGGAUGACAAAAAGUCGUAAAAAAGGAGAGGGAAAAGGCGAUGGAGAUCAGUCGAGUGAGCAUCUCCGACCCGGCAACUGGCAACAACUUUACUAUUUGUCAUGAACUGCAUUUUUCCGAUUCUCAUUCAUGGUUAUAUGUGGUGUCGUUCUAGUUCUACCGUUGGUUAUCGUUUAUUGCUGAGUCGACCACUGUUGUAACGAUGUCUCAUGGGUAUGGAGGAUACCAAACCGCAACGUCGCAGCCUAACUACACAAGAACACAACAACAUACGCAACAACCAGUUACUAUACCGAGGCCCACCUGUUCUACAUGGUUCUACACCACUAAGGCACAGGAGUAUUACACCACAACCUACGCUGCUCCAGCCUACUACACCGAGGCUCCCAAGCACUACUCCACCUGAGAAUUCCAGUACUACGCGACUACGUAUGCUCCUCCAGCUUACUACACCGAGGCGCCCAAGUAUUACUCUGCUCCAGCUUACUACACCAAGGUCCUGAAUACUACUCUACACCCAGCUACAUACCCACAACUGAGGCGGCCGAGUAUUAUGCAGUACCUACUUACUACACAGCGGCUUCUCCAUCGUACUACCUUGAUCUGAAUUACUACUCCGAGGUUCCAGUUAACUGCAUCAUAAUCUACGCUGCCCCCAGCUACUACACUGAAGCUCCUAUUAACUGCAACACCAAGGCAUUCGAGUAUUAUACCACAUUUACGCUUCUCCGACCUACUACACCGAAGCUCCGAAGUAUUACUUGCCCCGAGUUACAACACCACU